UACGUAGGUGGCAAGCGUUGUCCGGAUUUAUUGGGUUUAAAGGGUGCGUAGGCGGUCUAUUAAGUCAGUGCUGAAAUAUCCCGGCUUAACCGGGAGGGUGGCAUUGAUACUGAUGGACUUGAGUGCAGUCGAGGUAGGCGGAAUUGACGGUGUAGCGGUGAAAUGCUUAGAUAUCGUCAAGAACACCGAUAGUGAAGACAGCUUACUAGACUGUAACUGACGCUGAGGCACGAAAAGUGUGGGGGAUCAAAACAGG
rnacentral:rRNA from 1 species